UACGUAGGGGGCAAGCGUUAUCCGGAUUUACUGGGUGUAAAGGGAGCGUAGGCGGCGAUGCAAGUCAGAAGUGAAAGCCCGGGGCUCAACUCCGGGACUGCUUUUGAAACUGUAUGGCUAGAUUGCAGGAGAGGCAAGUGGAAUUCCUAGUGUAGCGGUGAAAUGCGUAGAUAUAUGGAAGAACACCAGUGGCGAAAGCGGCUCUCUGGUCUGUAACUGACGCUGAGGUUCGAAAGCGUGGGUAGCAAACAGG
rnacentral:rRNA from 1 species